rnacentral:lncRNA from 10 species
UCGAACUGUCUCUUUCUCAUUCCUUUGACUCCGCUGGACUUGCCGCCCCCGUGACCUGGUGUUGGGUCUCAUCAUCCCAACAGAUUCCCAUUCUAAAGAUGAGGGAACCAAGAGGUGGAAGUUCAUGCCGUGGAGGAAGUGGUGAAGGAGGUGGUGGGACAUGCCAAGGAGACUGGAGAGAAAGCCAUUGCUGAAGCCAUAAAGAAAGCCCAGGAGUCAGGGGACAAAAAGAUGAAGGAAAUCACCGAGACAGUGACCAACACAGUCACAAAUGCCAUCACCCAUGCAGCAGAAAGUCUGGACAAACUUGGACAGUGAGUGCACCUGCUACCACGGCCCUUCCCCAGUCUCAAUAAAAAGCCAUGACGUGUA